AAGACCUUGCGCUUUUGGAGCGGCCGAUGUCUGAUUAGCUAGUUGGUGAGGUAAAGGCUUACCAAGGCUUCGAUCAGUAGCUGGUCUGAGAGGACGACCAGCCACACUGGGACUGAGACACGGCCCAGACUCCUACGGGAGGCAGCAGUGGGGAAUUUUGGACAAUGGGGGCAACCCUGAUCCAGCCAUGCCGCGUGAGUGAAGAAGGCCUUCGGGUUGUAAAGCUCUUUCAGCCGGAACGAAAAGGUUACGGUUAAUACCCGUGACUAAUGACGGUACCGGAAGAAGAAGCACCGGCUAACUACGUGCCAGCAGCCGCGGUAAUACGUAGGGUGCGAGCGUUAAUCGGAAUUACUGGGCGUAAAGCGUGCGCAGGCGGUUUUGUAAGUCAGAUGUGAAAUCCCCGGGCUUAACCUGGGAACU
rnacentral:rRNA from 1 species